rnacentral:rRNA from 1 species
UACAGAGGGUGCAAGCGUUAAUCGGAGUUACUGGGCGUAAAGCGUGCGUAGACGGUUAUUUAAGUCAGGUGUGAAAGCCCCGGGCUCAACCUGGGAAUUGCAUUUGAGACUGAAUAGCUAGGGUGCGGAAGAGGGAAGCGGAAUUUCCGGUGUAGCGGUGAAAUGCGUAGAUAUCGGAAGGAACACCAGUGGCGAAAGCGGCUUCCUGGUCCAGCACCGACGUUCAGGCACGAAAGCGUGGGGAGCAAACAGG